rnacentral:rRNA from 1 species
GACGAACGCUGGCGGCGUGCUUAACACAUGCAAGUCGAACGGACAGGCCCUGCGUUUGUGGGUUGCUCGAGUGGCGAACGGGUGAGUAACACGUGAGUAACCUGCCCUUGUCUUUGGGAUAACUUCAGGAAACUGGGGCUAAUACCGGAUAGGAGCUCCUGCUGCAUGGUGGUGGUUGGAGAGUUUCGGCGGUUGGGGAUGGACUGGCGGCUUAUGAGCUUGUUGGUGGAGUAGGGGCUUACCAAGGUUUUGACGGGUAGCCGGCCUGAGAGGGGGACCGGGCACAAUGGGCCUGCGAUACGGCCCAGAAUCCUACGGGAGGCAGCAGUGGGGAGUCUUGCACAGUGGGGGGAAGCCUGAUGCAGCAGCGCCGCGUGCGGGAUGACGGCCUUUGGGUGGUAAACCGCUUUGGCCUGUGACGAAGCGUGAGUGACGGUAAUGGGUAAAGAAGCACCGGCUAACUACGUG